rnacentral:rRNA from 1 species
CCUACGGGUGGCAGCAGUAGGGAAUCUUCCACAAUGGGCGAAAGCCUGAUGGAGCAACGCCGCGUGGGUGAAGAAGGUCUUCGGAUUGUAAAACUCUGUUGUUAGAGAAGAAAGUGCGUGAGAGUAACUGUUCACGUUUCGACGGUAUCUAACCAGAAAGCCUAGGUUAACUACGUGCCACCAGCCGCGGUAAUACGUAGGUGGCAAGCGUUAUCCGGUUGUAUUGGGCGUAAAGGGAGCGCAGGCGGUCUGUUAAGUCUGAUGUGAAAGCCUUCGGCUUAACCGGAGCAGUGCAUUUGAAACUGGGAGACUUGAGUGCAGAAGAGGAAGGUGGAACUCCAGGUGUAGCGGUGAAAUGCGUAGAUAUAACGAAGAACACCAGUGGCGAAGGCAGCUCACUGGUCUGUAACUGACGCUGAGGUUCGAAAGCGUGGGUAGCAAACAGGAUUAGAUACCCCAGUAGUC